rnacentral:rRNA from 1 species
CAGGGAUUGCCUUAGUAACGGCGAGUGAAGCGGCAAAAGCUCAAAUUUGAAAUCUGGCACCUUCGGUGUCCGAGUUGUAAUUUGAAGAAGGUAACUUUGGAGUUGGCUCUUGUCUAUGUUCCUUGGAACAGGACGUCACAGAGGGUGAGAAUCCCGUGCGAUGAGAUGCCCAAUUCUAUGUAAAGUGCUUUCGAAGAGUCGAGUUGUUUGGGAAUGCAGCUCUAAGUGGGUGGUAAAUUCCAUCUAAAGCUAAAUAUUGGCGAGAGACCGAUAGCGAACAAGUACAGUGAUGGAAAGAUGAAAAGAACUUUGAAAAGAGAGUGAAAAAGUACGUGAAAUUGUUGAAAGGGAAGGGCUUGAGAUCAGACUUGGUAUUUUGCGAUCCUUUCCUUCUUGGUUGGGUUCCUCGCAGCUUACUGGGCCAGCAUCGGUUUGGAUGGUAGGAUAAUGACUAAGGAAUGUGGCUCUACUUCGGUGGAGUGUUAUAGCCUUGGUUGAUACUGCCUGUCUAGACCGAGGACUGCGUCUUUUGACUAGGAUGUUGGCAUAAUGAUCUUAAGCC